AGCCAUUACACAUGAAGUGGAAUGAGAGGAAAUGAGGGAGUGGGAUCAGUGUAAACCCAUUUUGGAAGAAGCCGUCAUAAGGGUUCAUUCUGGAAAUCCGUCUGAAGCUGACCUUCCCCAUCUUUUUUUUAACAACCAAGAAACCCUUGGCGUAGAGUGGCGGAACAUUGCAAGACCUCAAACUGGAUCACCAGAUUCGUCAACAGAUUUUUAAAUAUGUAAAUUAAUUUGCAUCAAGGACUUAAUAGGUAGAAAAACAGAAUGAUUUCCAUUUUUGUAUAAAUUACCUUCAUUGCUAAGUUCUAUGAAAUGGGGAUUGUAUCAGAAAAUUGGGGCUAGUGGCUUUGCCUUCAGAGUAGGGCCUUUUAAACCUGGUUUAUAUCCAAGUGAGUAGUGAGAUAUUAAAACAAAAUGCCAUUCCCCCAGGUCUACAGAAUCCCAAACCUCUGGGGGCCCCAAAUCACAUCACCCUGCCAGGUGUCCUGUGGAGAGCUGGAGCACAGGCAGAAAGACUCCAUGAAGGGGCCAGUGAUGGAAAAACACUUGAGCCCAAGGGUUGCUUGCUGACUCUAGAGGGGGCUCCUUUGGGGGUCCUUUUGGUCCAGCCCCAGCCCUCUUUUCCUUUCUGCCCCCCAGCUCCUCCCCCACCCUGUUGUGGCUCUGUCUUUUUUUUUUUUACAUCUUUAUUGGAGUAUAAUUGCUUUACAAUGGUGUGUUAGUUUCUGCUUCAUAACAAAGUGAAUCAGUCACACACACACAUAUGUUCCCAUAUCCCUUCCCCCUCACGUCUCCCUCCCUCCCACCCUCCCUAGCCCACCCCUCUAGGUGGUCACAAAGCACCGAGCUGAUCUCCCUGUGCUAUGCGGCUGCUUCCCACUAGCUAUCUACCUUACAUUUGGUAGUGUCUAUAUGUCCAUGCCACUCUCUCACUUCGUCCCAGCUUACCCUUCCCCCUCCCCAUAUCCUCAAGUCCAUUCUCUAGUAGGUCUGUGUCUUUAUUCCCAUCUUACCCCUGCGUUCUUCAUGACAUUUUUUUUUUCUUAGAUUCCAUAUAUAUGUGUUAGCAUACGGUAUUUGUCUUUCUCUUUCUGACUUACUUCACUCUGUAUGACAGACUCUAGGUCCAUCCACCUCACUACAAAUAACUCAAUUUCGUUUCUUUUUAUGGCUGAGUAGUAUUCCAUUGUAUAUAUGUGCCACAUCUUCUUUAUCCAUUCAUUGUUGAUGGACAUUUAGGUUGCUUCCAUGUCCUGGCUAUUGUAAAUAGAGCUGCAAUGAACAUUUUGGUACAUGACUCUUUUUGAGUUAUGGUUUUCUCAGGGUAUAUGCCCAGUAGCGGGAUGGCUGGGUCAUAUGGUAGUUCUAUUUGUAGUUUUUUAAGGAACCUCCAUACUGUUCUCCAUAGUGGUUGUACCAAUUCACAUUCCCACCAGCAGUGCAAGAGUGUUCCCUUUUCUCCGCACCCUUCUGGCUCUGUCUUGCCUCCCCCUUGGGCUACUCUGUGUCCCAGGCCGGGACACCCUUGUUCUUUGGGGGGAGCACCGUCCAGACGAGCCCACGUGGAUGGGUCCUCCAGGCUAACCGCGCUGCGUUGUUGAGCUGAACGUCUUCCUCUCCAUCAGGUGAAGAAGGGGAGGAAGCCUACUGCCCUGGCCUGGUUGCAAAGCUGCUCAGGUGACCAGCGCGUCUCUAGGUGCAGCGCACCUCUCUGAGCAUCUGUGCAUUUAAUAGGUCGAAUCCUCCCGGAAGCAGGAAGGCAGUUCUUCCCACAGGGCAGCAGGAAGGCCUCUGGUUUGAAACUUGCUCAUCGAUCACAUUCAGCCCCGUCUUGGACUCCUCGCCUGCCCUCUGCCCCCACCCCGUGAGGACCUUCCACUGGGUCAGAGCCUGUGCUAAGCUUUGGUGGAGCAUUGGGGGCAAGGUUUACCAUGGACCCUGCAGGAGGGAGCGAGGCAGGUGGGGAUCAGGUGGCGUGUACUGGCUCUGGAUGAAGAGCAAAUAGGGUGGAGUGUCCACUUCUUGGAGCUGGGAUGGCAGCCCAGGGUGGUCCCCACCAGGGGCCCUGGGGGAGGGCGGGGCCUGAGGGAGGGCUCCAGGGAGGUGCUCACCCCAGGAUAUGUGUUUAAAGCGCCCCACCACUAUCUGUGGGAAAGGGCCGAGGAGGCAGGAGACCUGCCUCUGGCCUCAGCGCAGCUCUGGAGCUGACCAGCUGCAGCUGCGGCAAGUCAUUUAAUUGGCUCCAUCUUACAGUGACUGAGUGCCCACUGUGGGUGGGCUGGCCAGUUGCUCAGGAUCCACAGGUGAAGGUAUGUGGUCCCUGGAAUCCCAGGCACAUGGGGUAAGCAGACAGAUGCUGAGAUAUGGGCUGACAAUAAAGGCAUUUAAAAAGUUGCAUAGGGACCCACAGAGGGGGAGACAGCCAUGCUGUGGGUGGGGUAGGUCAGGGGAGUAGUGUGAGGAAUAGAGAAGACUUCAUGGAGGAAGUAACAUUUGAAUUGGGCUUUGUAGGUUAAGUAGGAGCUCGCUGUGGGAGAAAGAAUGACAAGUGGAGGGAAGAUCACAAAGACGUGGGCCCAAGAGAGCCAGUCACAUUCAGGAAAACUACAGAGAGUAUGAUAUGCCUGGGCUUUGCCUGGCUGCAGCACUAUGAUUCCACCCUGUGGUGGGCUUGCCCUGUUGAUGUGGUAGUUGACUUACGAGAUGGCCUCCAGUGAUCCUUGUCUCCAGGUAGUCAAGCCUCUGCGUGGCCCACUUUGUCAUUGAACAGGGCUGACCUGUGUGACUACUAGAACACUGCUGAAGUGAUUGUGUGUGACUGAACACUGAGGCUGGGUCAUAAAAGCACUGUAGCUUCUGCCUUGAUCUCCUGGAUUGCAGGGCCUGGGAAGGCAGCCACCAUGCUGUGAGGACGUUCAGGCAGCCCUGUGGGGAGGCCCAUGUGCUAAGGAACUGAGGACUCCCACCAGCAGCAGGCAGCAUCAACGUGCCAGCCAUGUGAGUGGGCUGCUUGGAAGUGGACCUUCCAGCCCCAGCCAUGCCUUUAGAAGACUGUAGCCCUGUCUGACAUCUGCCUGCAGUCCUAUGAGAGACCUCUAGACAGGACUGUCCAGCCAAGCUGCUUCUGAAUUCCUGACCACAGAGCCUGUGAGACGUGAUAAAUAAUUACUGCUGUUUUAACCCAUGAAGCUUCGGGCUAAUUUGUUAUGCGGCACUAGAUAACAAAUACAGCUGGUUAUUGUGGUAGGCGGCUUCCAAGACGGCUGCCAACGAUCCCAGCCUCCCAGUCAUUCAUGCCAUCAUGUAAUGCCCUCUGCUUUAGUGUGGACUGGACAUGGUGACUUGCUUCUAAUGAAAGAAUAAGGCACAUCUGAUGGGGUGUCACUUGGAGAUUACGUUACAAAAGUCUCUGGCUUCCAUUAUGGGUGACACUUGCUCUCUUGCUGGUUCUGAGGGAAGCCAGCUGCCAUGUUGUGAGCUGUCCUAUGGAGGGGUCCACAUAGCCAAGAACCGAGAGAUGUCUCCAGCCAACAGCCAGUGAGGAACCGAGGCCACGAAUCCAACACCUUGUGAUAAAUGGGACCUUGGCAGCAGCCAUGUCGGUGAGCUGAGAGUUGAACCUUGAAAUGACUGCAGCCCCAGCAGACGCCUCGGUUCCAGCCCUGUGAGAGGCCCUGAACAAGAGGACUCAGACAAGCUGCCCUUGGGAUCCAAGUGCACAGAAACCAUGAGAUCGAGGAGGACUUGGGGAGGAUGCCGGCUCUUCAAAGACGAGGCGGUCUCAGCUGUGUAAUCACCACCACUUUGCUUGGGGCCCUCCCCGAGGAACAUACUCCCGGAUCCAUCACCCCCUUGCUCCGGAACUCCAGGGUUUCAAAAAAGCAGAGGGGAGACGAUUCGAUCCUAGGCCCAGCCAUUUCGGAGUCCACAGCUGGAAAGGAUCUGAGGCUUCCUCUGUUUACCUGAUUCCACUCUCUGGGGCCCCGCUCUGCCAGGAGACAGCACCCCCUUGUCUUUCUCCGUCGUGCCCACCCUCUCCUGUCCUGCGCACCCCUGGACCACCUCCCUCACCCCCAGCUGACUUCCUUCUCCAGCACGGAUUCUCAGACCCCCCCACCGUCUCUGUGUCCCCGUGGGAGGUGGAUAGAAGUGGUGGGUGGGAUUAGGCUUCAGAAUUCGGGGCCCAUGUUCGCUGCAGCAAAGCCCUGUGUGCUGGGUGGCUUAAGACAACAGCAAUCCAGUCUCUUAGUUUCUUAAUUCUCCCUCUGCUUUUCAGAUCCAAGUUGUUCUCUUCCUGCUGUUGAAAAAGUAGAAAUAACUAGAAGUCUCUUGACUUGGCAGUUCGUGCUGGAGCCCAGUGAGAGAGUUGUGUUGAGUCCUAGAGGCUAGGAUUCAGCGGGGCUGUGCUCCCUCGAGACUCUGGGUAGGAGCCUUCCUUGCCUUCUCCCUGCAGCUUCAAUCUCCAUCGUCACGUGGCAUUCUCCCUGUGUGUCUCUGUGUUCGAUCUGAUCCUCUUAUAAGGACACCAAUCAUAUUGGAUGAAGGGCCUACCCCGGUGCUCAUCUUAACUUCACUAGAACCAUCUGCAAAGACCCUAUUUCCAAAUAAGGUCACCUCCACAGGUCCCAAGGGUUGGGACUUCACCAUAUCUUUUGGGGGGACAUGAUUCAAUCCAUGACAGAGUCAGAGGAGGGAAGAGGCCCCAGUGACCAGGCCGCAGAGCAGAGCAUCAGAGGCAUCAGAAGGCUGAAGGUCUCCCAUCCUGCUGAGACCUCAGCCUCCCCAGCGAUACUCUUGCACCAGAGUCCCCUUCUCUGCCCCUGGCGCUGCAGAGGUGCCAGGCUUUGCUGUGGGCCUGAAAAACUGUCCUUUCACAGCUGUGUAGAGAGAAAAAUCAGGCUAACUGCAGGACUGCUGCACCUCUAAUGGGGCCCGGACCUCCCCGGGAGGGCGGCUGUCUUAGACCUUGUCCGGUGGCCUGGUCUGAGGGCACCAUGUCCACCUGCCAUCAUCAGCAGGAGAUGUGGCCUGAGUGUCCCCCUGCUCUAAGAUUUCACCUUGACUCCCAAGUCCUCCCCGCUCCCCACAUUCUCCCCAGGCAGCAGGGGCUUUGCCAGGGCAACAUUUCUGGGUGGGCUCUCGGAAGAUCUCUGUGCUCUGUUGCUCAUCCAGAGAGAACCGGCGGUGGCAGCUAAACGGUCCGCUGUGCCAGUGCCCUGCUGGGUGAAGCAGGUUCAUGUGGGGAGUGACGAUGGCACUGUUGCUGUGUCUUGGGUUGGACAUUGGAUUAUUUUCCUCCAACCCGACCAAGAGUUUUGGCUUUCAGAGAAGAUCUCCAGAAGCUGGGCUUAUAAACACCAGUGGGUAUCGGAUUUAGUCAAGGGUAUCCAGCGCCUGGCAUCCGUCACCUCUCACCAGCCCUGCUGUGGCUGCUAAGUUCGGUUCCAUAACCCGGACAGCAGACAGAAGGGGCAGGGGCCCGAUGGUCCCUAUCCAUUUCAUUGGGUGUGGUUGUUACUUCCUGGGUCGCUCACCUUUGGUUGAAUUUAAGUUUGUCAGACUAAGCAGCCUUUAAUUGGAGACCCUGGGGCUCCUUGGAACCCAGGCCACCUCUAAGCAUGGGAUCGAGUCUGGAAACAAAAUUUGUCGCCCCAAAAUGUCUCUGGCAUGUAGAUUAUUUCACGCUGAAAAUUAUCAAGGCCCAAAAGACUCAGGAAGAAACUUUGAACUACCCCCCUAAUCGCCUGAAAAAUUUAGAUAGAGGGCCUAUUACAGGAAUAGAGCUAUCACCAGACGUCUGCAGAGAAUACAAGCUAGGUGUGGUAGGGGAACACUUAGAGAUCAGAGUCUACUCUGUGUCCCAUUGUCUCUGCAGGGCCCCAGCAAACAUUUAUUUACUAAACACGUGCUUUUCCAUCUCCAGGUGAAUUGCCUUUCUCCCCUUCGAAGUCCCAGGCCACUACUCCCAACAUCCUCUGCUGUCUUUAGCUGAAGGUGACAUUUAAAGUGAGGACUUUGGCCAUUUGGAUGAAGCUCUUGGUGCUAUGCUUCAGAACAGACUAAAUGGCCUCCGCCCACACAGAAAUGAGCCAAUGCCCAGGAAAGGACACAGGGCGGCUUGUGAACUUUUGGGACACUCUGCUUCUGGCCGCAUCUGACUCAGCCAGUGACCUCGGAAAGAGGCUCAGCCUCCUAGGAAUUCCGUCCUGCGUCUCCUCCAAAUACGCAUGCAUGUGCGUGAGGCUGGAAUCCCCGUGGUCAUUGGGAGGAGGCCGUGCAGACACGGAGGUUCUUGCUCAGGCUGGGAGUCCCUCUGGGGCUAUGUCUUCUGGUCCUCAGUGUGUGCUCACCCAGCUUCUCUCUUCUGUGGAGCAGGCACCAGGCCCAGAGUCUGGGGGAUGCAGGCAGGGAGAGGCCCUCCCCACCUCAUGGGCCACCCAUCUUCUCGCGGCAUUAACUCCGAAGACUGGUCCUGGCCACAUGAUGUGACGCAUUAAGCACUGCACUGCUCCCACAGCAUCCCAGACACGCGGGGAAAGGAGGUGCCCACUGCAGCGUGGAGAGAGUCAGAGCAUGUCUGAUGCCCGGCACGUUCCACCCCCUCCCCCAGCAGGUAUUCAAUACCACUUGCCUUCACUGACAGCCUGGGAGCGCUGCGCCCUUGCUGCCUCUUGCUCUUAGGGGAAGUGGUUAAACUCCCCUCUCACUGGACCAAGGGCCAGGCCCCACCCCAGGAAAUAAGUUUUUCCCAUUAAAAGUACUCAUUUCACUUGAUGUAUGCAGACAGGGCUCCAGAAGCCCGGAGUAUGAGUGUGUGAGUGCAUUUGUGUGUGUGUGUGUGUCUGUGUGUGUGUGUGUGUGUGUGUGUCGGUGGAGAAUUUAAGCGCUGGAAACAGUGGCAAAUAAGGAGAUGCAAGCGAUGUGAAAAUAGUCAAGAUUUCUCAGUCGCCAGAAGGAGGGAGGGUGAAAUUGUAAACCCCCAUCAGAAGCUUUGACAACAGCCCGUCCACCUCCCGGUGGGUCACUCGUGUCUUCACUGCUCUUUGGGCCUAUCUUGCACGUCCCGCCUCCAAAUCUUGGCUCACGGAAGCUCACGGAGGCCAGGGAGCACUCUCACCAUCGCAGUACGCGGGCACCCCCGCUGACCCGGGGCUGAGUGAGUGUGUCUCUGUCAACAGUGUUGUCUGUAUCAGAUCUGCCCCUCACCUGCCCUCGACCCAUAUACAUUCUGGAACAUUCUGGCUGGGAGAUUUAGCCAAACCCUGGAAUUACUCCUUGCACUUUGCAAGAGUGUUCCUGGCUGGCACUGGACACCAGGAAUUUGCAGAAAUGUAUCAUCAUUUUUGCCAACUGCAAAAUCUUCCGGGUCAAAGGUCAAAUGUCCCUGAAGCAGGAAAGGCAGGAAGAAAAUUCAGCCAAAGUCUAGGCGCCUUUAAGAAAGGAGGCCUGGGCUUCCCUAGUGGCGCAGUGGUUGAGAGCCCGCCUGCUGAUGCAGGACACACGGGUUCGUGCCCUGGUCUGGGAAGAUCCCACAGGUGGCGGAGCGGCUGGGCCCAUGAGCCAUGGCCGCUGAGCCUGCACGUCUGGAGUCUGUGCUCCGCAAUGGGAGGGGCCACAACAGUGAGAGGCCCGCGUACCGCCAAAAAAAAAAAAAAAAAAAGAAAGGAGGCCUGGUCUGGCUUUGUCCCAUCAACACCAGGCAGGCUUGGUUCCUCCACUGCCCUCCAGCACCUCCAUCUAGGGAGGAUGGCCAGGUGCGGGGAACGCCCUGGACUCACGCUGCCUGGGCUGGAACCCUGGCUCAGCCUCACCACCUUGCGACUCUAGGCAAGAAACCCAAUCUCUCAGCUUCAGUUUUCUCAUCUGUGAAGUGGGGAUAAAGCGGUUUGCACCACACAGGAUUGAGGGAUAAAUGGGCUAAAGCACUUACCGUGUUUGGCACAAUGCCCAGCACAUAAUUAGCGUUUUGUCCACGUUAGUGCGGGGGUGUUGCUGGCCACUGCAGCAUCGUCAGUCUCCCCAGGUCCUCUCAUGUCCGAGCUUGCUCUUCACCUGUGGCUGGGAUGGGACUGACAAGGCUGGCACUGGGCCUCUCAUCCCCUCCUCAACCCCACAGACUGGCCAGGAUGCCCAGAACUCCACACCCACCUGUGUACUCUGUGUGCGAUGUCUACAACACGAAUGACACCCCCUCAGAUAAGGCACCCAUGUGCAGUGCGCAACCUGAACACCCAUACAAGCCCAUCCUGGGUUCUGAGUACAAGCUCAGAUGACAGACUCUCUGGGCUUGAACCUGGACUCGGCUACUUAUUAGCUUGGAAGAAUGCUUUGCAUAAACAGAUUUUGCUGAGCACUUGUACUUUCUGAUCUCAGUUGGGACUCGCAGAGGCACUGGAGGGACUUCUGUAGGGGGCUUCUGGCCUCCACAUGGACGAGGGAGGCACUGGGAGGUGGGGACCAGGCACAGGGCCAGCUCCGCAGGGAUCUGGGCUUCGCCCUGGGCUGGGCGGCCUGCGGGAGGCAGCCCACAUUCUGGCCUCAGCGGGGACCAGCAGGCGAGAUCCGUGUUUGGUGUGUCUACCCGGUACCCUCCCACUCCCUCCUCCACAGUGUUUUUCUAGAACUAUCACCACCCCCUGCCACUCUGCCUUUGGGAACACUGCUUUUUCCCAUUCCCUGCUUCUUCUGGGGCUGCUGAAAAAACCCCAACCCCUUGGUCAGGGCCUGGGGAUAUUUUGACUCCACUCUCCUGCUCCUGUGGACAUUUUGACUCCACUCUUCUGCUCCUGUGGACAUUUUGACCGCAAAGACAUUUUGAGUGCGAGCAUUUUAGUCAGAAUUACCCAACAGUGAUGAGUUUUCAUCUAGAAAGUACCAGAAUUCCACAGGGAACUCCUUUAAGCCAAUUUAAUCCGUUUAUCAAUUUUCUAUACAGCUCAGUUAAACCAUUUCCGAUGUUUCCAUUUCCAUUUUGCUGAAAUUAUUUUCUUAGAGAUCAAUUCUUUUGCAUUUAGAAUUUCACAGUGGAAAUUUGCUUCAUAAAUCAGUGUUUUAAAAUCCAGCUCAAAUUUUACUAUUUGCAGCUUCUGACAUUACAAGUGGCCACGGUUUCGAUUACGGAUCGUUUUCCCGGGUUAUGUUAUAGUUCGUGUUAUUUCUGAGUUAAUUCAUGAGGAAAUAGUGAGCAAUUUUAUGAGACAGGGUGAUAGUGAGGGAGGGAACAUGGAGAAGGGGAUGGGGAAGGAGCAAGAGAGAGACACAGAGGCCCUUGGGCAGAAACAGGGCUGCAGCUGGCCUGGUGGAUGGGGUGGGAGGGGGCAAAGGUCAAAGCAUCCACCUGGCCACAGGUCAUCGCAUGGCACAGUACUGUGUAUUCGUGUCCCACCCUGGUUCCAUCAGUGAUUUCACUGCUGUGGCCCUGAGAGCUUCAGCUCAACCUUCCUUCUUCUCCAGAAAGAUACAGUCCUGUUCUGCAUGGUUUUGUUUUUAAAAUGUAUUUUACAGCAUGUGUUCAUCCAGACAGAAGGCAGAAUUCAUGAUACACCCUGGGUGUUUACCGCAGUAGUGUUUCCUCUGCACCCCUGACUGCUUACCGACCGGGUAGAUUAUGCACGCGGAGGGGUGAGGAGGGAAAUUCAUUAAUUUCACAGCAACCAUGGGCUCAUCCGUACAGCCAGCAGCUGACCUCCAGUGGGUCUCAGCAGCUAAUGAAUAUGAACCUCAAACCGGGGGUCGUCCCUUUGGGACUUUAAUGGAGGCAAAUCUAAGGAUGUUUGGGAUCCGGGGGGUGCGGGGUGGAUCGUUAUUGGGAACACGCUCAAGAACUAAUCCAACUGACCUGCUGAUUCCCAGGCGUGAGUGACCGUGGGACAGCGCCGAGGCUGGGCUCAGGAUAGCAGCUGCUGGCUGAUCUAUGUGUCUCUGGCGAACGGAAGCUGAUUACGGCAGCUUGUGAUUUACUCUCAGACCGAAGAGGCUUGAGUUGAAUAACAACCCCUUGGAAAGUGGGAGUUAAACAGCCCUUUCUGCCCAGCCUCUCCUACUCUAUAGGCCUUGCUAGCAAAUCACAUGAUAAGGCUCUAGGCCAUGGGCGUGGGUGAAAGAGUUGGGACGACCAGGGUUCCAUGGCUGACUUGGUUGAGGCUUUCACCAAGGGAAUCAUCAAUCUUGAAACUUUCGGAAAAUUGUAUGAAUUUUGUGGGGGGCAGACUAGCUAUAUUUGUGGGUUAGAAAGCCUUAUAAAUUAAAAGCACGGUUCCUGGUAGUAUUUUUGAAGUUCUCUGUGGCAUUCUUCAUCCAUCCUUAAAUAACAUCUAACACUUGUUUGUGUAUUUCCUGUGUGUCAGGCACUGUGCUGAGAUCUUUUCAUGGAUGAACCUCGUGUAUUAAUCCUUGCUACAACUCUGAGGGAGGAAAGAGUUUUUAUCCUCACAUUGGAGAUGAGGAAAUUCAGGCACGAAGCAGCGGCUUACCUGGGGCCACAUCGUACGUGUUGGACCAGACACCAGAAUUCUUUUCAUUCUUAGUUACUCACUCUGGAAUAAAUGGCCAGGAGGGUGAGUCCAACUGGUCCUGGCAAGGGAGUCAGGACACCUGGUUCUGGUCAGUUUCUCCCUAUGUGCACGAGGGCUUGUAUUGUCAGGGUUCUCCAGAGAAACAGAACCAAUAAGAUGUCUGUGUGCAUGCGUGUACAUUAUAUAUAUAUUUAUGUGUGUAUUUAAGGACUUGGCUCAUGGGAUUAUGGAGAUGGACAAGUCCUAAAUUCUGCAGUUGGCAAGCUGGGGACCCAGGAAAGCUGAUGGUGUAGUUUCAGUCUGAAGGCUGGUAGACCUGAGACCCAGGAAGAGCUGACGUUUCAAUUCGGGUCCAAGGGCAAGAAAGAACAUACCACUGUCCCAGCU